rnacentral:rRNA from 1 species
UACAGAGGGUGCGAGCGUUGUCCGGAAUCACUGGGCGUAAAGGGCGCGUAGGUGGCGGCCCAAGUCCGUGGUGAAAGCUCGAUGCUUAACAUCGAGUCGGCCACGGAGACUGGGUGGCUCGAGCACUGUAGGGGCAGAUGGAAUUCCGGGUGUAGCGGUGGAAUGCGUAGAGAUCCGGAAGAACACCGGUGGCGAAGGCGGUCUGCUGGGCAGUUGCUGACACUGAGGCGCGACAGCGUGGGGAGCAAACAGG